rnacentral:lncRNA from 1 species
UGACUUUGUAGUCAAUUCUUAUGGUUUUGGCUUUGAAUUACAGCCUGGUUAUGAACGGCUCUGCUGUUUGAGGUGCAUGCAACCACGAGAUCACAACUUUCAAACAACCUGUGUCUGCCGAGUUCCACAGCAUCUUAGGGAGGAGAAGGUUAUUGAAUGUGUCCAUUGCGGCUGUAAAGGUUGUGCAAGCGGAGAUUAACCUGUUCUUUAGAAUCAACUGGUGCUUAAUUUUACAUGUUUUGUACUUGUAGUAAACCUACAUUAUUCAAAGCACUGAUCAAACGAUAUCUAGAACAUCGUAGUCAGUUCAGUAUUAGAGGUUGUGUUGAAUGAGAUAACAAUUGUGGUCGCAGUACCUACAGUAAACCUGUGUAACCUAUUUUCGCCAACUACUUGCCUUCAGAUAAUUUGAUAUGGUUGGUUGCAAGUUAUGAGUUUCGGCCAUGUUAGAAUAGUUAAUGAGAAAACGCUAUUUAAGUUGCAGGAUGUAUUAGAGGUUGUGUUGAAUGAGAUAACAAUUGUGGUCGCAGUACCUACAGUAACCUGUGUAACCUAUUUUCGCCAACUACUUGCCUUCAGAUAAUUUGAUAUGGUUGGUUGCAAGUUAUGAGUUUCGGCCAUAUUAGAAUAGUUAAUGAGAAAACUGUGAUGGCUCGCCAUGUCAUCAUGCCACAUAAGCGCCAUUUGGCAUAUAUUAAUGCCAUGUGGAAGCUUACAUAGGAGGAAUGCUUGCAUUUGUGAGAAGAUUCUAGAGAAGUAUGGAUAUUUCCUUUGGAAGAUCCUAGAUGUUUAUGGAUUUUCUAGGAAAGUCUUUGGAAUCUUCUAGGUUUGUAGAGAAUUCUAGAGAAAGCCCUUAUCUUGUAAAUAUUAAGGACUUGUGUAACAAUUAAUA